GCUGCGGCAAAAUCCGUAGUUGGGAUUGGAACCCUAAAAACUUUUAGCCCUGAAAAAGCUUGUACUUUUU
rnacentral:sRNA from 1 species